ACCCUCGUAGCUCAACGGUCAGAGCCAGCUCCCAUUGUGCGCACAAAGAAUGAAAUUCAGAGUAAGACGUGGGUUCGACUCCCAUCGCGGGCC